UACAAUAAUAUUGGCAUAAUACGAGAGAAACGAUACGUACGAGAUGCAAUUAAUCCAUUUACUGCUUAUCGUAAACAUGAAUUCCACAUAAGAUACAGAUUUUCUAAAGAAUCUGUUAUGUAUGGACUACUACCUUUAGUUGUGAACAGUUUAACAAAUAUGCGAGGUCUUUCAAUCGAACCAGUUAUUCAACUACUAAUUUGUCUGAGAUUUUAUGCUACUGCUAGUUUUCAAAAAGUAAAUGGAGAUCUCAUAAACUUACCACAAUCUACAAUUAGCAGGAUUAUAUUUAAAGUAACUACUAUAUUAGCUACUUAUCUAAAUACUUAUGUCAAAUUUCCAACAAAUGAAGCAACCAUAGAAGAAAAUAAAAAUCUAUUUAAAGAAUUAGGCUAUGGAUAUGGAGCUAUUGGACUUCCUAACAUUAGUGGGGCAAUAGAUUGCACCCACAUAAGAUUAGUGAGUAAUAACUUUGGAGGAAUAGGUGAAAUGUAUAGAAAUAGAAAGGGAUAUUUUUCCUUAAAUGUCCAGGCUAUUGUAGGACCACGAACGGAAUUUUUGGAUCUUGUCCCCGAAUGGCCAGGAAGUCAACAUGACAGUCGAUUUUUCCAAAAUUUUCGAGUUUUUAUGCGGUUUCAACAACGUGAACUAACAGGAAUGUUAGUUGGAGAUUCAGGAUAUCCCUCUCUCAUAUUUCUUCUAACACCGUUCAGAAAUCCACAAAAUGAUGACGAACACAGGUAUAAUGAAAUUCAAUCACGAACACGAAUGGUUGUUGAAAGAACUUUUGGAAUAUGGAAAAGGCGAUUUCCUUGUCUAUCAAGAGGAUUAUCAUUAAAACAUAUUAACAUGUACUAGAGUUCUAUCAGCUUGUGCAGUUUUGCAUAAUUUAUCACUACAUUACAAGGACGUUCUCCCAGAGGAACCAGAACCUAAUGUAGCAAUUGAAAAUAAUGAAGAGCUGCCCUACAAUGAACCUCAUGGGCAACCUGGUGAUGGUCAUGUUAUUAGGCAAAAUGUAGUUCGAUAAUUAUUUAAUUAGUAGUGAAGCGGAAUGGAGCAAAUUGGCGUCGCGUCAAUAACAGGCAACUAAAAAUAUUUUACAGGUAAUUAAAAAUAUUUAAUCUUUUUUUAAUCGAGCAAAGACAUAAUACGUCAAGUUGUUUCCGUUUUAGUGUAAACAACCGGAAUUUCAUUUAUACUACAUACUAACAGAGUUAAGAUGGUCGCCUAAUUUAAUAAGCUGUCGUAAAGAUAAAACGUCUUGUUCCAUGAUGACCAAUUUUGUCAAUGUAUUGAAUACAAUUUUGUUCCGCAACGAAAAAAUAGAUUUGGGAGAGUUCAGUUUUACACACAUUCCCAGCAAACAGAACAUUGUAGCAAUAUUGCGACAAUUUUGUAAUAUUGCUGUAAUAUUGCCACAAUGUUAUAACAUUGCCGCAAUGUUGCUGCUAUGUUCUGUGUUUACUGGGUUGGCAGUUGGAUCGAUAGUUAUCCUUUGGAGUGCCCGAAGAACAGAAUUGGAUCUUUAUUGGAGAUGCUCGCGACUAUUUUUGAAAAAUGUAUUGCACUGCAAGUUUCUUGUAAUAAUUCGAGUCGAUGGUGUCAAGAAAAUGUUGGACGCAUUAUGGUGUGUCGUCGCAUCUCGAGUUCGCCAACUUGUUUUCGAUCCCGUGCUCUCUGGUUACAAUUAUAAAAUUAGCUGCGUUCAGUGCGGAGAAUGCAGCGGUAGCAGCAUUGAUAUUUGUGAAAAACAAGGUAAGAAUAUUUUAUCCAAAUAUCAGUAUCUAUUUUUUGAAAAAAUAAUAUAACAAUAAUAAAUUGCUUUGUGUCUUUAGAAUUACCCAAUAUUAUUUCAUGUCGAUUCUCGAGAAUAAGCAAUUUGUUGAAAACUUGAAGAAGGAAAUUCCAAAUUUUGACACUAUUUUUAUCCAAGUUUGUACGUAUUUAUCGUUUAUUAUGUUACGAAAUAAUCAGAGCAGAGUUCAUAAAAUUUAUAUUUUAGGUUUGGAUAAAAUGUUCCAUUGUCAGUUACGACACAAACAGAAAAGAUGUAAAGAUUCUGCAAAACUACAUUCAGUCUCAGUGAGAUCAAGAAGAUGGAUACAUGUCAUUUACAAUAGAUUGAAUUGCGAGCAAGUUGAAAAGAUUCUAAAAGCACGCGGCAUUAAAGGUGGCGAUGACGAAAAGAAGAAAGAGACAUGAUCUAAUGAGAAGUCAGUGGUGUAAUGCGUUUUAAAUGCGUGUGGGAGAAAUGAGAAUUGUCAUUGUGCGAUGUUUAUUUCAAUGUAACUUAUAUUUGGUUUUAUGUUUACAUAUCACAUAUCAAACUGGUUUACAUAUCACAUAUCAAACUGUUAUUACAUAAUUACAUAAAAAAAACGAGAUCAUCUUUGUCAGCAUAUACAUAUUAACUUAGUAUGUAAUUAAUAAUUUUAUAUUUUAAUAAUAAAAUAAAAUAAUAAAACAAAGUAAAACUUAAUAUCUCUUUAAAUAACACUUAUGCGUGCGCUUGCAAUUAAGCAUUAAACAUCAUCCGAAACGUAAUGUUCUCCCCUAAAAUUUAAAAAACAUUUUAAAAUAGAAUUAUUUUGUUUGAAAAAAUUACUUACAUCUCUUUUUGAGCACGAAACUUUGCUAGCUUGUAUUUCUCUUGCAACUCCUUUUUUUCCAACAAUAAGCUAAUUACUAUC
rnacentral:misc_RNA from 1 species